AGUGAACGCUGGCGGUAGGCCUAACACAUGCAAGUCGAACGGCAGCACAGUAAGAGCUUGCUCUUACGGGUGGCGAGUGGCGGACGGGUGAGGAAUACAUCGGAAUCUACUUUUUCGUGGGGGAUAACGUAGGGAAACUUACGCUAAUACCGCAUACGACCUACGGGUGAAAGCAGGGGAUCUUCGGACCUUGCGCGAUUGAAUGAGCCGAUGUCGGAUUAGCUAGUUGGCGGGGUAAAGGCCCACCAAGGCGACGAUCCGUAGCUGGUCUGAGAGGAUGGUCAGCCACACUGGAACUGAGACACGGUCCAGACUCCUACGGGAGGCAGCAGUGGGGAAUAUUGGACAAUGGGCGCAAGCCUGAUCCAGCCAUACCGCGUGGGUGAAGAAGGCCUUCGGGUUGUAAAGCCCUUUUGUUGGGAAAGAAAAGCAGCAGGUUAAGACCCCGCUGUUCUGACGGUACCCAAAGAAUAAGCACCGGCAAACUUCGU
rnacentral:rRNA from 1 species